rnacentral:rRNA from 1 species
UUUUAUUUGAGAGUUUGAUCCUGGCUCAGGAUGAACGCUGGCGGCGUGCCUAACACAUGCAAGUUGAGCGAUUUACUUCGGUAAAGAGCGGCGGACGGGUGAGUAACGCGUGGGUAACCUACCCUGUACACACGGAUAACAUACCGAAAGGUAUGCUAAUACGGGAUAAUAUAUUUGAGAGGCAUCUCUUAAAUAUCAAAGGUGAGCCAGUACAGGAUGGACCCGCGUCUGAUUAGCUAGUUGGUAAGGUAACGGCUUACCAAGGCGACGAUCAGUAGCCGACCUGAGAGGGUGAUCGGCCACAUUGGAACUGAGACACGGUCCAAACUCCUACGGGAGGCAGCAGUGGGGAAUAUUGCAC